rnacentral:lncRNA from 1 species
UCUUGAAUGAAUGAGAAGGAAAAAGAUAUCACAUGGAUCACUAGAAUUUUUUUUUUUUUGAACAAUCAAAUAAUAAAACUAGUAAUUUCUAUUAUCAUUUUUAGUUUUUACAAUUUCGCUUUCAAUAUUUUGAAAUAAAGCUUCCUUGUAGCUAGAUUAAGAUUUGUAUCUCGAUCCAAUACAACAAUGCAUCACAACUAUGGAUUCCAAUUAUUUUAUUCUUUCUUUUCUUUCUAUCAUUGAAUAUGCUUUACUAUUAUUCGUUACUAGAUGAUUAGCCGAUUAAAAAAAGGAUUCCGACAAAAAAACUGCUUCUGCAACUACGAAAAGGAAAUUUUUAGAUCUCACGCAUCUACUUAAAUUGAGGGAAUAUGAUAAUCUCUUUCAUUGUGAGAAUUUUCUAUUAAUAUAGAGCAUCAUUUUACAUAACCGGGUAAAAGGAAAGGAAAAAAUAAAUUAUUUAGCGCUUCCUUUCGAUUUGAUACUGAUUCAAAUUGUAUUUCUGUAUUAGAAGAAGGAUAUUUAUACUGAUUCGGUAUACUAUAAAGACGCCCUCAAUACAAUACUGAUGAUCCUAUAAGGAUGAAAUUUCAGUGAUUGCCUUUAAUUGAUCUCAUCAUUACGGAGUUGUUCUCCUUUGACUCUACAAGAAUAUGUGGAGCCGAUCAUGUCUGGAAGCACAAGAGAACUUUUUUUGCUGAUGGUAUUACCAAUAUUCGAUACUGGGUCAUUCAUCGCAUUACUAUACCUUCCCUUUUCAUUUCAGGUUUGUUAUUCGUUAGUACCGACUUAGCUUAUGAUGUAUUUGGAAGCCCUCGAUCAAAUUUUUACAAUAUGAUAAUUGGUUAUUCACUAAUCUAAUGACUAUAAAUCGAACCUAUCCAAUUUUUACAGUAUGAUAAUUGGUUAUUCACGGCCUAGCUGUACCUAACGUCUUUUUUGGGGGAUAAUAUCAGUAAUGCAAUUCAUCCAACGAUAAACCUAAUCCAAAUUAUAGAACUGAAACAAUCAAACCCAAACGAACAAAAUGUUGAAUUGAGACGUACCAGUCUCGACUGGUGGUUAUUACUCAUUUUUGUACUUAUUGUUUUAUUUUCCAAUUAUUUCUUCAAGUAUGGAAAUGAAAGAAAAUAAAUAUGAAUUCUAAGCAUUCUCUUAGCCCAUUUGGUAGCAUAUCAUCCCAUGAAUUAUCCAUGACUGAUUAUGUCUGUAGCAUGAUCACUUGAUGAAAUUGGAAGGAAGUGGAGUAAAUGGCCGAUACUACUGGAAGAUUCCUCUUUCGAUAAUAGGUACUGCAACAGGUGAAUUCUUGUGACUAGUUUAAUAGGUAUUUUCUUUUAUGGUUCAUAUUCCGGUUGGGUAUGACCCUGUAGCAAUCGGAUGAAUUGAGUUGUAGACAUAAAAGCGUAAGAACUCAACGUGAUUCUCUUCUUUGUUUGUCUGAUUCGAAG